UACGUAGGAUCCAAGCGUUGUCCGGAUUUACUGGGUGUAAAGGGUGCGCAGGCGGACUUGUAAGUCAGGGGUGAAAUCUCACAGCUCAACUGUGAAACUGCCUUUGAUACUGCAAGUCUUGGAUCCAGAAGAGAGUUGUGGAAUUCCGAGUGUAGCAGUGAAAUGUGUAGAUAUUCGGAAGAACACCAGUGGCGAAGGCAGCAACUUGGUCUGGUAUCGACGCUCAGGCACGAAAGCGUGGGGAGCAAACAGG
rnacentral:rRNA from 1 species